rnacentral:rRNA from 1 species
GGGUUGUGAGGUUAAGCGACCAAGCGUACACGGUGGAUGCCCUGGCAGUCAGAGGCGAUGAAGGACGUGCUAAUCUGCGAUAAGCGCCGGUAAGGUGAUAUGAACCGUUAUAACCGGCGAUUUCCGAAUGGGGAAACCCAGUGUGAUUCGUCACACUAUCAUUAACUGAAUCCAUAGGUUAAUGAGGCGAACCGGGGGAACUGAAACAUCUAAGUACCCCGAGGAAAAGAAAUCAACCGAGAUUCCCCCAGUAGCGGCGAGCGAACGGGGAGGAGCCCAGAGCCUGAAUCAGCAUGUGUGUUAGUGGAAGCGUCUGGAAAGGCGCGCGAUACAGGGUGACAGCCCCGUACACAAAAGCGCAUAUGCUGUGAGCUCGAUGAGUAGGGCGGGACACGUGGUAUCCUGUCUGAAUAUGGGGGGACCAUCCUCCAAGGCUAAAUACUCCUGACUGACCGAUAGUGAACCAGUACCGUGAGGGAAAGGCGAAAAGAACCCCGGCGAGGGGAGUGAAACAGAACCUGAAACCGUGUACGUACAAGCAGUGGGAGCCCCACCACUAAGCCAGUGGUGAACUCCACAUACGCAUCCUUUGCUGAAGGUGCGGUUAACGGAGCGAAAGCGACGUUCAACCUCAAAAGAAGCAGAGGGGGCUUAGUGGUGGGGUGACUGCGUACCUUUUGUAUAAUGGGUCAGCGACUUAUAUUCUGUAGCAAGGUUAACCGCAUAGGGGAGCCGAAGGGAAACCGAGUCUUAAUUGGGCGUUAAGUUGCAGGGUAUAGACCCGAAACCCGGUGAUCUAGCCAUGGGCAGGUUGAAGGUUGGGUAACACUAACUGGAGGACCGAACCGACUAAUGUUGAAAAAUUAGCGGAUGACCUGUGGCUGGGGGUGAAAGGCCAAUCAAACCGGGAGAUAGCUGGUUCUCCCCGAAAGCUAUUUAGGUAGCGCCUCGUGAACUCAUCUCCGGGGGUAGAGCACUGUUUCGGCUAGGGGGCCAUCCCGGCUUACCAACCCGAUGCAAACUGCGAAUACCGGAGAAUGUUAUCACGGGAGACACACGGCGGGUGCUAACGUCCGUCGUGAAGAGGGAAACAACCCAGACCGCCAGCUAAGGUCCCAAAGUCAUGGUUAAGUGGGAAACGAUGUGGGAAGGCCCAGACAGCCAGGAUGUUGGCUUAGAAGCAGCCAUCAUUUAAAGAAAGCGUAAUAGCUCACUGGUCGAGUCGGCCUGCGCGGAAGAUGUAACGGGGCUAAACCAUGCACCGAAGCUGCGGCAGCGACACUGUGUGUUGUUGGGUAGGGGAGCGUUCUGUAAGCCUGCGAAGGUGGCC